rnacentral:rRNA from 1 species
AACGAACGCUGGCGGCAUGCCUAACACAUGCAAGUCGAACGAACCCUUCGGGGUUAGUGGCGCACGGGUGCGUAACGCGUGGGAAUCUGCCCUUUGCUUCGGAAUAACAGUUAGAAAUGACUGCUAAUACCGGAUGAUGUCUUCGGACCAAAGAUUUAUCGGCAAGGGAUGAGCCCGCGUAGGAUUAGGUAGUUGGUGGGGUAAAGGCCUACCAAGCCGACGAUCCUUAGCUGGUCUGAGAGGAUGAUCAGCCACACUGGGACUGAGACACGGCCCAGACUCCUACGGGAGGCAGCAGUGGGGAAUAUUGGACAAUGGGCGCAAGCCUGAUCCAGCAAUGCCGCGUGAGUGAUGAAGGCCUUCGGGUCGUAAAGCUCUUUUACCAGGGAUGAUAAUGACAGUACCUGGAGAAUAAGCUCCGGCUAACCCCGUGCCAGCAGCCGCGGUAAUAC